rnacentral:rRNA from 1 species
GCAAGUCGAGCGGUAACAGAAAGUAGCUUGCUACUUUGCUGACGAGCGGCGGACGGGUGAGUAAUGCUUGGGAACAUGCCUUGAGGUGGGGGACAACAGUUGGAAACGACUGCUAAUACCGCAUAAUGUCUACGGACCAAAGGGGGCUUCGGCUCUCGCCUUUAGAUUGGCCCAAGUGGGAUUAGCUAGUUGGUGAGGUAAUGGCUCACCAAGGCAACGAUCCCUAGCUGGUUUGAGAGGAUGAUCAGCCACACUGGAACUGAGACACGGUCCAGACUCCUACGGGAGGCAGCAGUGGGGAAUAUUGCACAAUGGGCGAAAGCCUGAUGCAGCCAUGCCGCGUGUGUGAAGAAGGCCUUCGGGUUGUAAAGCACUUUCAGUCAGGAGGAAAGGGUGUGAGUUAAUACCUCACAUCUGUGACGUUACUGACAGAAGAAGCACCGGCUAACUCCGUGCCAGCAGCCGCGGUAAUACGGAGGGUGCGAGCGUUAAUCGGAAUUACUGGGCGUAAAGCGUACGCAGGCGGUUUGUUAAGCGAGAUGUGAAAGCCCCGGGCUCAACCUGGGAACUGCAUUUCGAACUGGCAAACUAGAGUGUGAUAGAGGGUGGUAGAAUUUCAGGUGUAGCGGUGAAAUGCGUAGAGAUCUGAA